rnacentral:lncRNA from 1 species
CAUUCUCUCUGUCUCUCUCUAACACUCGAUUAACGAUCUCUGAUUUAGGGUUCUUCACGAUCUCCGUGAUUCCAUCGAUCAGGCCAUGUCGCUCUCUUGUUAAAUAUCUGUCGACUCCGUCGCUCUCCGCAUGCAAAUAAAUCCCAGUUGAGCAGGAAAUCGCUCUCUACCCUGAUCUCAGUCGAUCGAAGUUGAUCUGUGGUUCAAUCUCGGCAUCGCUUCACGUUCAAUCGCUCAUGCUCGGCGUCACUCUCUGGUUGAAUAUCGGCGUCGAUAUCUGCUUCAAUCCCUCUCACUCGACCUCGCUCGGGAAAACCAUAAAACAGGUACAUUUUGAAUUUUAUUGAAUUUAGGAUUAUUUUGGACUUUUCUAAUGAUAUUGAAGUUUCAUUCUAGGGAUUAAAGGCCAUGAAUAUGAAAAUAUUAAAAUUAUAGGGUUUCUCUGGUCUGGUCAUAACUGUUACAGAUUGAGAUUAAUUUUGUUGAAGAUUUUCUUUCAAAGAUUUACUGUGUAUAAUUGGCAUGACAAUGAAAGGGAGAUACUGUAUUGUUGUUUACUCUUGUCAAGUGGAAGUUUACUGGGGGGUAGUAAACUUCCACUGGGUUUACUAGGGUUCAAUAAAGUUGUUUAUUAGGGUAAUAAUGGGUAUCUGUUGUAUAUAAUUGACAUGAUUAUGAAAAGGACAUAGUGUAUUGAAGUUUACUGACCCCUAGUAGAAGUUUACCAGUAAAUUUUCACUGGGUUUACUAUGGUUCAAUGAAGUUGUUUAUUAAGGUAAGAAUGGGUAUCUGUUGUGUAUAAUUGACAUGAUUAUGAAAAGGACAUAGUGUAUUGAAGUUUACUGCCCCCUAGUAAACUUUUACUGGGGGUCAGUAAAAGUAAAAGUUUACUAUGGUUCAAUAAAGUUGUUUAUUAGGGUAAGAAUGAGUAUCUGUUGUGUAUAAUUGGCAUGAUUAUGAAAGGGACAUAGUGUAUUGAAGUUUACUGACCCCCACUAGAAGUUUACUGGGGGGCAGUAAACUUCCACUAGGUUUACUAGGGUUCAAUACAGUUGUUUAUUAGGAUAAUAAUGGGUAUCUAUUGUGUAUAAUUGACAUGAUUAUGAAAGGGACAUAGUGUAUUGAAGUUUACUGACCCCCAGUAGAAGUUUACUAGGGGGCAGUAAACUUCCACUAGGUUUACUAUGGUUCAAUGAAGUUGUUUAUUAGGGUAAGAAUGGAUAUCUAUUGUGUAUAAUUGACAUGAUUAUGAAAGGGACAUAGUGUAUUGAAGUUUACUGACCCCUAGUAGAAGUUUACCAGUAAAUUUCCACUGGGUUUACUAUGGUUCAAUGAAGUUGUUUAUUAGGGUAAGAAUGGGUAUCUGUUGUGUAUAAUUGACAUGAUUAUGAAAGGGACAUAGUGUAUUGAAGUUUACUGACCCCCAGUAGAAGUUUAACUAGGGGGCAGUAAACUUAACUACUAGGUUUACUAUGGUUCAAU